rnacentral:rRNA from 1 species
AGCGAACGCUGGCGGCAGGCCUAACACAUGCAAGUCGAACGAACUCUUCGGAGUUAGUGGCGGACGGGUGAGUAACACGUGGGAACGUGCCUUUAGGUUCGGAAUAACUCAGGGAAACUUGUGCUAAUACCGAAUGUGCCCUUCGGGGGAAAGAUUUAUCGCCUUUAGAGCGGCCCGCGUCUGAUUAGCUAGUUGGUGAGGUAAAGGCUCACCAAGGCGACGAUCAGUAGCUGGUCUGAGAGGAUGAUCAGCCACAUUGGGACUGAGACACGGCCCAAACUCCUACGGGAGGCAGCAGUGGGGAAUCUUGCGCAAUAGGCGAAAGCCUGACGCAGCCAUGCCGCGUGAAUGAUGAAGGUCUUAGGAUUGUAAAAUUCUUUCACCGGGGACGAUAAUGACGGUACCCGGAGAAGAAGCCCCGGCUAACUUCGUG